rnacentral:rRNA from 1 species
GUUUAUUUACCUGGACCCUUGCUCUUCCACCUGAAAGAAGUAGAUGCAGAAAGUUGUGCAGCCCGGCUGCGGUGCGGUGCAGGAGACGGCCGAUCGAGUCUGAACUGAAUAUGGUUGUUUCCGUCCAGACCCUCGUCCUCCUGCUCCUCCUACCAACCCAACCCAAUCCAGCCCCAGGUCCCAGCUCGUCGCGGCUCUGACUGAAUCCCCCCCCUUCACCACCGGACAGCUACCGCCGACGCCCCGAUCCCACCCCUCUCCCCCCUCCCCCUCCCCUGCCGCCGCCGCCUCUCCCUCCUCGCCGCGACGUCGGUUCGCGCCCCGGCCGUCUCCGCCCCGUCCGCGAUCUCAGGCCGAUUGGAGAUACGCUCGUCGAUUCAGCCAUCGUCCAGCGAGGAGGAGAGAUGCAGGCAUCUAGAGCUAGGCUCUUCAAGGAGUACAAGGAGGUGCAGCGAGAAAAGUCAGCCGACCCAGAUAUCCAAUUAAUCUGUGAUGAUUCAAAUAUAUUCAAAUGGACUGCUGUAAUCAAGGGCCCAUCGGAGACACCUUUUGAAGGUGGCGUAUUUCAACUUGCAUUCUCAAUUCCCGAGCAGUAUCCUCUACUGCCUCCGCAAGUCCGCUUCAUCACCAAAAUUUUCCACCCAAAUGUUCACUUCAAGACUGGUGAAAUAUGCCUGGAUAUAUUGAAGAAUGCAUGGAGCCCUGCGUGGACCCUACAAUCUGUUUGCAGAGCCAUUAUUGCGUUGAUGGCCCAUCCGGAAGCAGACAGCCCACUUAACUGCGACUCAGGCAAUCUUCUCCGCUCGGGCGACAUCAGAGGCUACCAGUCCAUGGCGCGGAUGUACACCAGGCUAGCUGCCAUGCCAAAGAAAGAGUGAUUUGCAGGGUUGCAAAGGUACACCAGAGCAGUGGCGCUGGUGCUGGCUGAUUGAUUCAUGCAUGUAUCAACUCUCUAAGUUGUCAGGUGUAACUCGUAUGAACUUGUGUGGCCUGAUUUUCUUACCCGACUUGUCGUUGUGGGUGUAAUGUUGAUUCUGUUGGGCUAAAAAGGAUUUAAGCGUAAACGCUUGAUUCAUGAUGAUGUGUAAUAAAUAAUCCUCACAGGGAUUUGGUACAGUGCAGUAUCCUCUGGUUGAUUACGUGCUGUCCUCCUGUACACUUUGAGUUGCCGAAGCCUCGAUGCCCCUACAUAUAUGCAUUGGUCCUUGCGGUUUAAGUAAACCCGUGUGCUUCCUCUCACUGUCCACUGAUAGUCUUAUCGACCGCUUAUGUCGUUUUGGACCAGAGGCCCAGUCAAAUUGGGCUAGAGGCCAGUCAAAUAUUG